GUGAAAAACCGCCCAUACUGAUAUUGUGAUGCUAACCAUGCGAAGCAUGAUGUGCAGGCUUUUGUUUGUGUGUUGUGUGGGUUGUGGGACCCGAUCUUUGGAGGUAAACGUGUUAACAGGUGUGACGCAGGAAGGUAGCCAAGCCACGCGAUGGUUGUCGUGGUCUAAGCGUGUAGGGUUGUCGGUUGUUAAAUGCGCCGGCUGUGUGCCUGAGACGUGAUGGGACCCCGUUUUUUGGGGGAUUUGGUGAUCCUAUGCUGCCGAGAAAAGCAUCGGCGUGAGGUUUUAGCCGCCCGUACCCUAAACCGACACAGGUGAUCAGGUAGAGAAUACUAAGGCGAUCGAGAGAAUCAUGGUUAAGGAACUCGGCAAAAUGCCCCCGUAACUUCGGGAGAAGGGGGACCUUGAGCGUGAUGGGCACUUGCUGCCUGGAGCGUGUAUGGGUCGCAGAGACCAGGGGGAAGCGACUGUUUAUCAAAAACACAGGUCCGUGCGAAGUCGUAAGACGAUGUAUACGGACUGACUCCUGCCCGGUGCUGGAAGGUUAAGAGGAUUGGUUAGCCUUUUUUGGGCGAAGCUGAGAAUUUAAGCCCCAGUAAACGGCGGUGGUAACUAUAACCAUCCUAAGGUAGCGAAAUUCCUUGUCGGGUAAGUUCCGACCUGCACGAAUGGAGUAACGACUUCCCUACUGUCUCAACCAUGAACUCGGCGAAAUUGCAGUACGAGUAAAGAUGCUCGUUUCGCGCAGCAGGACGGAAAGACCCCGUGACCUUUACUAUAGUUUGGUAUUGGUGUUUGGUUUGGCUUGUGUAGGAUAGGUGGGAGACUGUGAAGCAUGGACGCUAGUUUGUGUGGAGUCGUUGUUGAAAUACCACUCUGGUCAAUCUGGAUGUCUAACUUCGGGCCAUGAUCUGGUUCAGGGACAGUGCCUGAUGGGUAGUUUAACUGGGGCGGUUGCCUCCUAAAGUGUAACGGAGGCGCCCAAAGGUUCCCUCAGCCUGGUUGGCAAUCAGGUGUUGAGUGUAAGUGCACAAGGGAGCUUGACUGUGAGACUGGCAGGUCGAGCAGGGACGAAAGUCGGGACUAGUGAUCCGGCGGUACGUUGUGGAACGGCCGUCGCUCAACGGAUAAAAGGUACCUCGGGGAUAACAGGCUGAUCUUGCCCAAGAGUCCAUAUCGACGGCAUGGUUUGGCACCUCGAUGUCGGCUCGUCGCAUCCUGGGGCUGGAGUCGGUCCCAAGGGUUGGGCUGUUCGCCCAUUAAAGCGGUACGCGAGCUGGGUUCAGAACGUCGUGAGACAGUUCGGUCCCUAUCCGCUGCGCGCGUUGGAAAUUUGAGAAAGGCUGUCCUUAGUACGAGAGGACCGGGACGGACGAACCUCUGGUAUGUCAGUUGUACCGCCAGGUGCAUGGCUGAUUGGCUACGUUCGGGAGGGAUAACCGCUGAAAGCAUCUAAGCGGGAAGCCUGUUUCGAGAUGAGAUUUCCUGGCACUUUUGGUGUGUGAGGCUCCUUAUAGAUGAUGAGGUUGAUAGGCCGGGUAUGGAAGCGGGGACUGAAGACUCGUGGAGUUGACUGGUACUAAUAG
rnacentral:rRNA from 1 species